GGUCGACGAUUAACGCGAAGAACCUUACCUGGGCUUGACAUGGUGGUGGUAGGGAAGCGAAAGCGGACCGACCUUCGGGAGCCAUCACAGGUGCUGCAUGGCUGUCGUCAGCUCGUGUCGUGAGAUGUUCGGUUAAGUCCGGUAACGAGCGCAACCCUCGCCGUUAGUUACAAGUGUCUAGCGGGACUGCCCGUAGAAAGCGGGAGGAAGGUGGGGAUGACGUCAAGUCAGCAUGGCCUUAAUGUCCAGGGCUACACACACGCUACAAUGGCCGGUCCAAUGGGUCGCCAACCCGCGAGGGGGAGCCAAUCCAAGAAAGCCGGUCGUAGUUCGGAUUGCAGGCUGCAACCCGCCUGCAUGAAGUCGGAGUUGCUAGUAAACGCCGGUCAGCCAUACGGCGUUGAAUACGUUCCCGGGUCUUGUACACACCG
rnacentral:rRNA from 1 species